GGCACUAUAGUGUAGUGGUUAUCACUUGGGAUUUUGAAAGCGGAUUGCGGACCGACCCCUCACCGUGUCGGUCCGCGAUCCGUGGCCCUUCCCAUAACCCAGGUUCGAACCCUGGUAGUGCCU